GGGAAGGUUGGGGGGCGUGCUUACACAUGCAAGUCGAACGAUGAUGCCUAGCUUGCUAGGUGGAUUAGUGGCGAACGGGUGAGUAACACGUGAGUAACCUGCCCCUGACUCUGGGAUAAGCCUGAGAAAUUGGGUCUAAUACUGGAUAUGAACAUUUACCGCAUGGUGGGUGUUGGAAAGAUUUUUUGGUUGGGGAUGGACUCGCGGCCUAUCAGCUUGUUGGUGAGGUAGUGGCUCACCAAGGCGACGACGGGUAGCCGGCCUGAGAGGGUGACCGGCCACACUGGGACUGAGACACGGCCCAGACUCCUACGGGAGGCAGCAGUGGGGAAUAUUGCACAAUGGGCGAAAGCCUGAUGCAGCGACGCCGCGUGAGGGAUGACGGCCUUCGGGUUGUAAACCUCUUUCAGUAAGGAAGAAGCGAAAGUGACGGUACUUGCAGAAGAAGCGCCGGCUAACUACGUGCCAGCAGCCGCGGUAAUACGUAGGGCGCGAGCGUUAUCCGGAAUUAUUGGGCGUAAAGAGCUCGUAGGCGGUUUGUCGCGUCUGCCGUGAAAGUCCGGGGCUUAACUCCGGAUCUGCGGUGGGUACGGGCAGGCUAGAGUGCAGUAGGGGAGACUGGAAUUCCUGGUGUAGCGGUGAAAUGCGCAGAUAUCAGGAGGAACACCGAUGGCGAAGGCAGGUCUCUGGGCUGUAACUGACGCUGAGGAGCGAAAGCAUGGGUAGCGAACAGGAUUAGAUACCCUGGUAGUCCAUGCCGUAAACGUUGGGCACUAGGUGUGGGGGACAUUCCACGUUUU
rnacentral:rRNA from 1 species